UAGGGAAUCUUCGGCAAUGGGGGGAACCCUGACCGAGCAACGCCGCGUGAGUGAAGAAGGUUUUCGGAUCGUAAAGCUCUGUUGUUAAGGAAGAACGAGUGUGAGAAUGGAAAGUUCAUACUGUGACGGUACCUAACCAGAAAGGGACGGCUAACUACGUGCCAGCAGCCGCGGUAAUACGUAGGUCCCGAGCGUUGUCCGGAUUUAUUGGGCGUAAAGCGAGCGCAGGCGGUUAGAUAAGUCUGAAGUUAAAGGCAGUGGCUCAACCAUUGUAGGCUUUGGAAACUGUUUAACUUGAGUGCAGAAGGGGAGAGUGGAAUUCCAUGUGUAGCGGUGAAAUGCGUAGAUAUAUGGAGGAACACCGGUGGCGAAAGCGGCUCUCUGGUCUGUAACUGACGCUGAGGCUCGAAAGCGUGGGGAGCGAACAGG
rnacentral:rRNA from 1 species